rnacentral:miRNA from 1 species
UAGGAUAACCGACCUUUCUGAUUUGCCUGGGACUGAGGGAGUUGCUGGGAGGUGGAACUUUCAGCACUGUAAAAGCUGGAAAAUC